UACGAAGGGGGGCUAGCGUUGCUCGGAAUACUGGGCGUAAAGGGCGCGUAGGCGGAUAUCUAAGUUGGGGGUGAAAUCCCGGGGCUCAACCUCGGAAUUGCCUUCAAAACUGGAUAUCUUGAGUUCGGGAGAGGUGAGUGGAACUCCGAGUGUAGAGGUGAAAUUCGUAGAUAUUCGGAAGAACACCAGUGGCGAAGGCGACUCACUGGCCCGAUACUGACGCUGAGGCGCGAAAGCGUGGGGAGCAAACAGGG
rnacentral:rRNA from 1 species